ensembl:lncRNA
AGACCCUGCGGAGCGUGUGGGAUGGCGUGCAGGGCAACCAUGAGACGGCCUUCCAGGGCAUGCUUCAGAAAAUGGACAUUAAAAACGAAGACGAUGUCAAAUCUUUUUCUCGAGUGAUGGUCCAUGUUUUCAAAGAUGGCAUAACAAACUGGGGCAGGAUUGUGACUCAUUUCUUUUGGUGCCUAUGUGGAAAAACACUUGAAGAGCAUAAACCAGGAAAGCUGCAUCGAACCAUUUGCAGAAAGUAUCACAGAUGUUCUUGUAAGGACAAAACGGGACUGGCUGGUCAAACAAAGAGGCUGGGAUGGGUUUGUGGAGUUCUUCCAGGUACAGGACCUAGAAGGCAGCAUCAGAAAUGUGCUGCUGGCUUUUGCGGGUGUUGCUGGAGUAGGCGCUGGUCUGGCAUAUCAAAUAAGAUAGCCUUGUGAGUGCAGUAGGGGACUCUUAACUCCAGCCACCAAACCACAUGCUUCUGUGAAAACAAAUGUAUUUAUGGAGUUGGACUUGAAGCAGCCCGGGCUUUAACAAUCCAGGAGUUCCACUCUAGCAACAUAGCCAGAAAGAAAGCAAGUGGCUACAGAUUGUGGCUAACAAGAAUAAAUACAUGGCAAAAGUGCUCCCUCUUGAAGAGUUACUAUCUGAAAGAAGCCAAGUUUUCACUCAGCAAACUUUGGGAGGCCGUGGAGGAGGACUUGUAGAUUGAAUGGAAGUGCUAGGUGGACAGACUUGAUUUCCUUGUCUAGAAGAGUGGCCAGUCCUCAGGCUAGUCAUAGAGCUCAAUAAAUGUGCAGAGUCUAUCACUCUCCUGUGGUGUUGAAAGAAGCACUAAUGAUGGUGGCGAUCUGUGUAAGAUGGAUUUAAGCUACAAGGAACCAGGCCAUGACUAGAAGCUGCAGUAAUGUACAAGAAUGUGAAAGGAGGCUCUGUGGUGAGAUUUCCCUGGUGUACUUCUUGAUAGAGUCCAAGUGCUCAGGACGUGUAGACCUGUCUACUUUGGCUUGGUUUUGUGAUAAUCUUAAGUUUAUUAGCCUAGUCAUGGCCAAAAUACUUGACUUAAGGUUCACUAAUUAGUUACAAAACUGAAAAGCCUCAAUUUUUAAGGUAAACAACAUAUAAAAUGUAUUUGUUUGUAAAAAUUGUAUAUAUAUUUUUACAGAAAAUCUAUUUCUUUGGACCUAAAACGAGGGACUCCAAUUUAGUUUUUCCAUACCCUUUUGAAAUUUGCAACUUCUCUAGUUAGAAAUCUAUUUCUUACAACUUUUUAAAACUUUGUCAUGAUCAGCUCUAGAGUAUAUACAGAACCAGUUGUGUGUGUGGACUGGUUGUAGUGAAACAAAUCGGAUUCAUAACUAUGCAGGCUUAAUUUUCCAGUCUGAUUUUGUAUGUAAGGAUCACAUGUAGAUGUAAGGAAUUUGACCCCCUGUUGACUUUAAAUUGUAAAGUGGUUUGGUAACACAGGCUAGACUCAUAACCAUGAUGAUAUUCACAAGGUUUACUUGUUUGACACAAGUUUAAGCCUGGUGGUGUCAAUAAAACAAAUAUGUAUUUCUUUUCUAC